rnacentral:misc_RNA from 1 species
UUUCCGUAGGUGAACCUGCGGAAGGGUCAUUACAAAAUCUGUUGGGUGGUAAGGGGGGGAAUUGGUGUAAUAACCGAUUCUCAACUCUACCCCUUUUACAUUUGCGCUUGUAUUGUUUGACAGAGUAAAUUACACACUAAGCCUAUACAACUUUUAACAAUGGAUCUCUGGGCUCUU